AAUAAAGUCACUUACCCAAAACCAGAUUCCAUUGUCAAUAAGAGGAGAUUUGGAUUGUACAGUUUCAUCUGACAACUAUGUUGGAAUUCAACUUUUUAGCAGAAGUCAGAAAGCAACUGUUCUUUCAACCAAACUGUUUUUUUCUCAAGAAUACACCAGCAAUCUCUGAAGCAUUUUCAUUUGACCACUUUUUUUAGAAGGGGCUCGUAAGCUUGUGUUAUACUAAAGCUUAGCUCCUCAAGCAAACUGGUGUUUUCCCUUUUUGUUAUCAGUAGAGGACUUUCAUUGUUGCUUUUUUUCUUCAGUAGAGUUUUUGAAAUCUGCAGGGGCUUUUCUGUUUUUCUUUUGUUUUGCUCUUUUUUGCUUUUUUUUAAAGAAAGUUUUUAAAUGUUCAUUUAGUAAUGGAGUCAAAGUGGAACCAGGAAGGCAAUUCUUAAAAAAAAAAAAAUUGUCCAAAACUAAAAUUCCUGACCUUAAUGGAAAAUAAAAAAUUUUACCAUUAAAUCAUGAGACAAAUGCAGUUAGGAUAUAUCAGCUAUCAAAGUGCAGAAAUCAAGUCUCCAUGAGAAAUAAACCUUUGCUGCUGGAUUCUUUCACUAUGAUGGCAGAAAAUCAAGACUUGGAGGAGACUGUUAUAUAAAGUUUCUCUAACAUUCAUUACAUUUAUCUAAGGACUCUAUCAGAUACUUUCAGUGUGGUCUCUCCUAAGUUCAUUGAAAUUCAAAAUAAUUAAUUGAAGUAAAGCCCUGCAUUUGUGCAUGCGUUCUGAGCAAUUAAGUGGAGUGAAACACAUGUAUUGCUAAUCUUGCAUGCUGUGAUUAAGAUAGAAAUGAAGACGUCCAUCAAACGAGAUUACUUCUUCAUCAACAAGGCUCAGAAAUGUUUCUACAGCUGUUUAGAUCGUUUUAAUUGUAUCAGAGCCUCUCACAUCAUGGUUUAAGUGAGGCACUAUUUCCCCCCAUUAAAAAAGAGAAUAUGAAGAUAUGAGAGUAUACUAAUCCGCAUGUGAAAGAAAUCACAAUGCAUUUAAAGGUUUCUUUACCAAUAAAAUUAGAUUAGCUAAAGAAACAAAAGGCAUUUGUGUGUUUAUGAUCUAUUUUCAUACUUAACUGCACAAACACGGAGCUGAGAGGACCAGCUGGGUCCCACUUUUCAUUAUCAAAUAUUCCUGGAUUAUUCCCUCUGGCCACUCUAACUCCUUUAUUUGAAAAAAGAACAGGGAAUGGUACUACCUUCCCUAUGUAAAAGUAAAUCUAAUUGAUGACUCACACACAAAAAAACCAUGAUACUUGUUACCAUUUCCUCAAUUUCCAUUCCUCCUUCCAAUAGAAACAUAGUUUUUUUAAAGCAACUAAUUAUUCCAAAAAGAAAAGAACUCACUUAUUCUACCAAUUUUUUGGUUAGUUACUCAGAAUUAUUCCUAGUAAUAUAGACUUGGAUUUUGAGUCCCUCAAUGGGACUGAAGAAUAAGACCAAAUGUUGUCUCAGAAUAAUGAAUGAUUUGACUCAAAGUGAUUUCUUAAAAGCCAAAGUUACCAUUUCAGAAAAUUCUUUCUCUUGUGGUUCAGCGAGCUAUGAAGGAGGUGAACUGAACAGAAUGAGAAUAAAUCAAGAUUGGACUUUUCAUAGGAUUUCAAUUCAUUUUGAUAGAUCUUCAAGUUGAACAUAAAAGAAACUCUCAGACUUUAGGAACCUAUAGGUCAGAGUGGUUCAACUGAAAAAGCAAAGAGAAACAUGCAGACCCG
rnacentral:lncRNA from 10 species